CCGAAAGCCAUCAGGAAGAAACACACAAGAUGAGACAUUUGCACACAGAACAAGAUUCACAAAGGCCGGAUGACUUGGUCUCGCCUUGCAACUGCUUCUGCCCUGGCCACAAAGCCCUCUUUGAAGAUGACCAUGAACACACAAAUCUUUCGUAAGGGAGAGCGGCAAACAUGAAUAAAAUAAACUCCUUGAAAUAAAUCUCCAACUGGAUUUGCAAGCUUUGGCUCACAAGCACGCACCGAGAGGCGGCUUUCAGAUGGGCAUCUGAUAUCCCAAUGACUUGCCUCCCUCUUCGAUGUGGGGGCUUAUUAUCAAAAGCUAGUGUUUGUCCAAGUCUUACUACGUGCCAUUAUUCUAAGCUCUCUGUGUAUGUUAACUCUUUUCAUCUCCCCCCCCCAUACCGGUAAGGUAGGAGCCCCAUUCUAUAGUUGUCCGCGUGGUUAAGUAAUAGUCCGAGAUCUUUCAGUUACACCCCCCAGACACCCACCCUAUUACCUCCCCUGCUCAGAAGCCCCAAACUCCUUUCCCUUCAGCCUUUUUUUCUUUUUUUUUAUUUGCAGGCCCAAGAUGUUGAACUUCAGAUGGCAGAACAGAAAAGAGUUUUUCCUCCCCUACGCAUCUGAGCUGGGACAUGAUGGGUACCCAGGAGCUAGCCCAGCUGCAGUGGAUGGGAAGGAGAGGCAAGCAGAAGGAGCGCAAGAAAAGGCCCAGAAGUCAGCGGGGUGUUAAAAGAUUCAUUUACCACGGAAAACAUCAAGGGGCACGGAGAGCCUUUGGCUCAAGCUGGCUUAUUCUUCACUCAGUCAUCCCUUUGGACAAGCUGAAAUUUCAGUCUGCAGAAAUUGUCUUAGACUGCGCUCUGCCCUCCUGCUUUCACUCUGAAGAUCCACGAUGUCUAAUGUCAACAACAUUGCUGAGCUUUACUUUCCAUAGUUUGUGUCAUAUAGAAGAUGUACUGUUCAGUUUUAUAAAAAUACUUUUAGAUCACAUAUUCACCCUUCUUCUCCCCAACAUUGGAAAUCACUAUCCCACACACACGGAUAUGUGCGUGCUUAUUGAUUAACUUAGACUGGCAGGUGGAGUCCAGCUCCCCUUGAUCUUCCUUUCCAUAAUAAUACCAGAGACAGUUAUUGAUCACUUCCCAUGUGCCAGGUACUGUUCUAAGGGCCUUGUAUGCACUCUCAGUCCAUCCUCCUCAGUCUCAUGAAAUAGAUCCUCUGAUGAGCCCUAACUGUUGCGUGAGAAAUCAGAGGCUAAGGGAGGUAAGCAAUUUGCCAAGCCUCACAGUUAAUGUAGGGGUGGGGGGCAGAGCAAGAUGGGAAUUGAAGUCGGGUGCCUGUGGGUAUUUUAAAUCUCAGCAUCAUCACUGCACCCCCGACCCCUGGGAUGGCAGCAGGAAUAGAGAGGGUCCUCAACACAUGCUUAUCGAGUGAAUGAAUGCCUAACUCCUCCUUCCUUAGGAUUCAACACCAACUAGCGCAGAUGAUGCAUCUAUUUUGUACCAGCCACUGUGCUUUGACAUGAAGAAGCUGUUAAUGGUUCAUCUAAGAUAAUAUCCAUAAUUAGAAAUUAGAAAACAAUCAUCAUAUGGCAGAACCAAGUCUAGAAUAGUUUUUUUUUUUUUUUAAAUAGAACUGCCGUGAUGAGUCAAUUGUCCUUUUUGGCUUGGAAAGGGAAUGAUAAAGAUGAAGUUGAAGAAAAGGGUUUGUUUUUUAAUAUAACGGAGGAAAACUGAAAAAGAAAAGAAAAUCAAAGAGGAUGUGUAGCAGCCCACAGGAUGUUACAGAUACAAGUCUAAAUUAAAUUCAGGUGGGGUGCCAAAGAGGAAGUCCCUGUUUCCUCUUCUGGUGGUUUAAAAUAUCCCUCCCCUUGCCAAAGCUCAUGGGGAUCCUAAAUCACACCUGAGAGUGGCCACUGGAGAGAGAACCUCAGGCAACGGUCAAGAGCUCUGGCUCUGGGAGCAGCCCCGCCGGGCUUCAGAUUUCAUCUCCGCCCACUCACAGCCUAUUUGACUUUGACGAAGGACAAUGACACCCACCCUGCGAGAUUAGGUCUAACACUAAACGUAGUUUCUUGGCAUUCAGUACAUAGUAGCUAUUAUACUUGUUAUUAAUUAUGACUACUUACUAAUAAAAUAUACAGUGACAUUUUAAAAGCA
ensembl:lncRNA